UCCUGGCCCGCGUCUCCCAGGUCUCCCUCGAGUUCGUCUACCUCGCCAUCGCCUCCGCCGUCGCCUCCUUCGCCCGUAAGUGCCUGCCGCCACCCUGUCACUUGGAAGCUUCCAGCUGCUGCCAUGCCAUGCCAUGCGACCCGUGAAAGUUUAGUUCCUCUGUCUGACAUCCUGUGAACUCAGAGGUGACCUGCUGGAUGAUCACCGGCGAGCGGCAGGCGGCGCGGAUAAGGAACAUGUACCUGAGGACCAUCCUCCGGCAGGAGAUCGCCUUCUUUGACAUGUACACCAGCACCGGCGAGGUCGUCGGGCGGAUGUCCGGCGAUACGGUCCUCAUCCAGGACGCC
rnacentral:lncRNA from 1 species